GACGAACGCUGGCGGCGUGCUUAACACAUGCAAGUCGAACGGAAAGGCCCUGCUUUUGUGGGGUGCUCGAGUGGCGAACGGGUGAGUAACACGUGAGUAACCUGCCCUUGACUUUGGGAUAACUUCAGGAAACUGGGGCUAAUACCGGAUAGGAGCUCCUGCUGCAUGGUGGGGGUUGGAAAGUUUCGGCGGUUGGGGAUGGACUCGCGGCUUAUCAGCUUGUUGGUGGGGUAGUGGCUUACCAAGGGUUUGACGGGUAGCCGGCCUGAGAGGGUGACCGGCCACAUUGGGACUGAGAUACGGCCCAGACUCCUACGGGAGGAAGGAGUGGGGAAUAAUGCACAAUGGGCGGAAGCCUGAUGCAGCAAAGCCGCGUGCGGGAUAGCGGCCUUCGGGUUGUAAACCGCUUUCGCCUGUGACGAAGCGUGAGUGACGGUAAUGGGUAAAGAAGCACCGGCUAACUACGUG
rnacentral:rRNA from 1 species